rnacentral:rRNA from 1 species
UAGGGAAUCUUCGGCAAUGGACGAAAGUCUGACCGAGCAACGCCGCGUGAGUGAAGAAGGUUUUCGGAUCGUAAAACUCUGUUGUUAGAGAAGAACAAGGACGUUAGUAACUGAACGUCCCCUGACGGUAUCUAACCAGAAAGCCACGGCUAACUACGUGCCAGCAGCCGCGGUAAUACGUAGGUGGCAAGCGUUGUCCGGAUUUAUUGGGCGUAAAGCGAGCGCAGGCGGUUUCUUAAGUCUGAUGUGAAAGCCCCCGGAUCAACCGGGGAGGGUCAUUGGAAACUGGGAGACUUGAGUGCAGAAGAGGAGAGUGGAAUUCCAUGUGUAGCGAUGAAAUGCGUAGAUAUAUGGAGGAACACCAGUGGCGAAGGCGGCUCUCUGGUCUGUAACUGACGCUGAGGCUCGAAAGCGUGGGGAGCAAACAGG